rnacentral:rRNA from 1 species
GGGUUAGUAGGUUGGUCAUGCCUCUGGUAUGCACUGGUCUCACUGAUUCCUCCUUCCUGAUGAGCCGCAAUGCCAUUAAUUUGGUGUUUUGGGGAAUUUGGACUGUUAAUUUGAAAAAAUUAGAGUGUUUAAAGCAGGCAUACGCUUGAAUACAUUAGCAUGGAAUAAUGAAAUAGGACGUUCGAUCCUAUUUUGUUGGUUUCUAGGAUUGACGUA